AUGCUUCUACAGAAGGCAGACAGCUUCAUGGGACGCUUGAAAACGCUGUCCAGUCGCCGCUGCAGCAGCACGCCAUGUCUGAAAGUUCCUCAGGUCUGAACACGAGCUGCCUCAGAUUCUGCACCUCCCAUUCGUCUCCUUGCUCUGAUCUCAGUGAUAUAGACACCCCUUUGCCUGUCUUAUCAUCAAGGAACAGAGGACUACACCAGCCCAGCUGUGAUUCUGGCAUUGCCUCUCCACUUCCAUCUGAUUCAUUCAAGUAUCUCACCUGGCAUGAAUUAGAAGAACAUGAUGUUCGAGGGAGUCAAAU